rnacentral:rRNA from 1 species
GUGGGGAAUCUUCCGCAAUGGACGAAAGUCUGACGGAGCAACGCCGCGUGAGUGAUGAAGGUCUUCGGAUUGUAAAGCUCUGUUAAUCGGGACGAAAGAGCCUAGUGUGAAUAAUGCUAGGAAGUGACGGUACCGGAAUAGAAAGCCACGGCUAACUACGUGCCAGCAGCCGCGGUAAUACGUAGGUGGCAAGCGUUGGCCGGAAUUAUUGGGCGUAAAGCGCGCGCAGGCGGAUCUGCCAGUCUGUCUUAAAAGUUCGGGGCUUAACCCCGUGAUGGGAUGGAAACUACAGAUCUAGAGUAUCGGAGAGGAAAGUGGAAUUCCUAGUGUAGCGGUGAAAUGCGUAGAUAUUAGGAAGAACACCAGUGGCGAAGGCGACUUUCUGGACGAAAACUGACGCUGAGGCGCGAAAGCCAGGGGAGCGAACGGGAUUAGAUACCCCAGUAGUCC